AGUAUACUCACAGUUUUGGUGCAUGAAGCAGUUACCAGCUUCCCUCUGUGUGGUGGCUUUGAACAAGACUCUUGCAAAGUGUUCACCUGCCCUGAGGGAUGGAACGACUUGGCAAGAUGUCUGCAUUACAAUUGGAAUAUUGCUCCUGCUGGGAGAAGACUUGAGAGAAUAUUUUUACUUUUCACCAGUUCCUGCUGUGCCUUGGCAUUUACAGUCCCUCUGGAGAAACACCGUCAGCAGUUUUCACCUCUGUCUUGCAGACUGGCUCCGCGGUGUGACAAGCGUAUUAGUUCAUCACUGAGCUCAACCUGAUACGAUUUUGAGCAAGAUAAUGGUCAGAAAGAACACUGCCAGGCUCCUAAUGAGAAACUGUUGACAGUAAAAUUACCUCAACAUUCAUCAAAAAGCCAAUAAAUGUCAAGCGUGGGACCUUUGAUGCAGUAGCUCAUAAUUCCUGCUCAGAAGCCUUUGCAGGCUGUCAGGGCAUGCGGUUACCCUGCAUUUCUGCUGAUUUUACUGAAACCUUUGCUGCUGAAGAAGUGCAAGGAGCAGGUGUCUGCAUGCUGGAUGUCACUGUUACAAUGCCACUGGCUCACUGUGAGACCUCAGAUGGAGCACAUUUGGCCUUCAUUUCCCCACCUGCAACACAAGAAUGACAGUACAGGAAUUACCCAAAGGCAAUUCUGUGAAGGAGACGGUGUUGCUGUCCAAAUGCUCAGAAAUCAUGAGCUGAAGCAUAAAAGUAUGGUGCUGCCUUUUUACCAGUGAGAUAGCCAUGUAUUUUUAAUGUUAAAUAUGUCCAGCUUUUUGUGUCUUUCAAGCUCUCUCCUCUGCAGCUAUGGGAGUACUUCAAACCAUCACAAAACUAAUUCUUACUCAGUCUGCUGAAUCCUGCGCUGGGCUGCCUUAAGAGAACCACAGGAAGCUUAUGUAUAAUUCCAGAUGAUGAAGACUACCAUUCUGUUUGUCAGCUCUGUGGAAUGUGAAUGUUAUAAAUACCUUGCCCAUCUCCUGAGUCUGAUUCUAGCUUCAGCAUUCAGCCCAUAAAUGAUGCGAUAAGGCACAGUAUUACCAAGAGCAUGAAUUAGGAAUGACCUUGUUCUGUGUGUUACUCCACCGGUCUCUGCAUCCCGGCUUGAAACUUGUUAAUGAGGGGAGACCGGGGUUACAGCACGAGUGAUUAUAUGACCAUAUCCUCUAGAUUUUGCCUAUAUAUCACUUAUAAAAGUUCCAGGCAAAGGCUGAAAAACAUUCUUGUAAUGCCUCUACAUCACUGACACUCUGAGGUCAGCGGCCAGAUGGUUCACUAUCAUCUUUUCCAAAUCUCAAUAACUCUAUGGUUCUGUAGUUACAUUCAUAAUGGCAAUUCCUUGCUUGUGUUUUCUGCAUUUCCAUUCCAGCUGUUCCUGUGUAUACAUAUAGAAAACUCAUCCCUUUCUGUCAUUUGCAGUGACAAGUUGCUCUGCACAGAUGGAGUCAUUCUUAGUUUACAGAGAAGGCUGAGUGUAUGCCACAUGCUAUUAGGGUCACUUGAAACUAGGCUAAUUACCUGGCAGACCACUGGAGAGCAGAUUCUUUAAUAAAAAUGAAUGGCUGAUGAGGGAUAGACUCCUUGCUAUUUUAGGACAAACUCUCCCUUAGGCAACAGAUAGCCACAGUGGAAAGGCUCCCAAUCUAUUAUUUGGUUUGCUGUUUCUUGGCUGUAGAGCUUAAUUAACAGUUCUGGAACCACGUUGCUUCCCAGGGAUGGCCUGCAAGUCCAUUAAAUUAAACAAUAGAGGCAGAUAUGGGCAAAAGUAAAAAUUACACACGUCAGAAAUGAAAAAUGACGUUGCUUUGUCAGUGCACAGGGGCCAGGGCAGGAAUGUUCUAAAGCCUUCUGAAGCUCUUCUCUUUCUAGCAGCUCAAGCAAGAGGGAGAGUUUCCUACGGAUGCCAUCAUUUUUUGAACUAAUGAUCACUAAUUACACAAUUAUUUUAUUGCAUGAAAUAAUACAAAUACUCUGGAAACUGAAUUAAAACGUACUUAUAUUAUUCUUUUAAAUAUCUGAAAGUACAGCACAAACAUCCGUCGCACUUUGUAAGAGAUCACUGACUGGAAGAGACCAUGACCCUAGAGAAGCAGUAUCCUGAAGGACCCGAAUGCAGCCAUCCACAGCUUCCUCAGUUUCCAUGGAUCUGAACUGCAAAGGAACUUGAGGCACUGUGGGGUUUGGUAUUUUACACAGAAAGCCAAUGGUAAGGAAAGACACCUACCUUCAGCCUACCCUACAAACAAGCAGCACACCAUUUUUGAUAGUUAGCUUCUCUUCCCAUCACCACUUCAUGUUGCUGAAGUAUGCCCAUUCUUUCUGCAGCACGUCCAUUAAUGCCACGAUCCGCUCACAGUGAGCAACGCUGAGGAUGCCUGUAUGUCUUUGUGACACUAAGAGUCUCAUGAGGCCAUUCAAAUUCAAUAAAUCCACACGCAGACAUAAGAUGACCAGA